rnacentral:rRNA from 1 species
UUUAUUGGAGAGUUUGAUCCUGGCUCAGGAUGAACGCUGGCGGCGUGCCUAAUACAUGCAAGUCGAGCGAAUGGAUUGAGAGCUUGCUCUCAAGAAGUUAGCGGCGGACGGGUGAGUAACACGUGGGUAACCUACCCAUAAGACUGGGAUAACUCCGGGAAACCGGGGCUAAUACCGGAUAACAUUUUGAACUGCAUGGUUCGAAAUUGAAAGGCGGCUUCGGCUGUCACUUAUGGAUGGACCCGCGUCGCAUUAGCUAGUUGGUGAGGUAACGGCUCACC